CGGUAAUUCCAGCUCCAAUAGUUUAUAUUAAAGUUGUUGCAGUUAAAAAGCUCGUAGUUGGACCUUGGACCUGGACAGGCGGUCCGCCUCACGGCGAGUACUGUCUUGCUGGGUCUUUCCUCUUGGUGAUCUGUUGUUUCGGCAGCAGGGAACCAGGACCUUUACUUUGAAAAAAUUAGAGUGUUCAAAGCAGGCUCGACGCCGGAAUAUAUUAGCAUGGAAUAAUAAAAUAGGACGUGCGGUUCUAUUUUGUUGGUUUUUGGAAUCGCCGUAAUGAUUAAUAGGGACAGUCGGGGGCAUUAGUACUCACAUGCUAGAGGUGAAAUUCUUGGAUUUUGUGAAGACUAACUUCUGCGAAAGCAUUUGCCAAGGAUGUUUUCAUUAAUCAAGAACGAAGGUUAGGGUAUCGAAAACGAUUAGAUACCGUUGUAGUCUUAACAGUAAACUAUGCCGACUAGGGAUCGGUCGAUGUUAUCUUUUUGACUCGAUCGGCACCUUACGAGAAAUCAAAGUUUUUGGGUUCUGGGGGGAGUAUGGUCGCAAGGCUGAAACUUAAAGAAAUUGACGUAAGGGCACCACCAGGAGUGGAGCCUGCUGUUUACUUUGAUUCAACACGGGGAAACUCACCAGGUCCAGACAUAGGAAGGAUUGACAGAUUGAUAGCUCUUUUCUUGAUUCUAUGGGUGGUGGUGCAUGGC
rnacentral:rRNA from 1 species